rnacentral:tRNA from 1 species
AAAGGGAGACCUAAUUCAGGUAAAAGACGAAAAAAAAGUAGUCGCUACCAAGAAUCAAUCCCAAAAGGUCGGAGCGAGGCGAAAUUGGCUUUCAAACUAGGUUCUGGGUUCAAACAAGACCUGAAUCAGGAACAAGGGCUAUUAGCUCAGGUGGUUAGAGCGCACCCCUGAUAAGGGUGAGGUCCCUGGUUCGAGUCCAGGAUGGCCCACCUGCACAGGUGGCAAAAACAAGAGAAGCGAGGAAUCAGCACCUUAUCUUACUUAUAUAGUAAGAGAGAAUGCUGGCUCUGAGUAAAGAGUCCAGGGGAACCUUGAAAACUGCAUAGAGCUAGGUGAAAAAGCCAAAAAAGAAGACCGCAAG